rnacentral:rRNA from 1 species
CAGCAGCCGCGGUAAUACGAAGGGUGCAAGCGUUAAUCGGAAUUACUGGGCGUAAAGCGUGCGUAGGCGGUUUGUUAAGUCUGUUGUGAAAUCCCCGGGCUCAACCUGGGAAUGGCAAUGGAUACUGGCAAGCUAGAGUGUGUCAGAGGAUGGUGGAAUUCCCGGUGUAGCGGUGAAAUGUGUAGAGAUCGGGAGGAACAUCAGUGGCGAAGGCGGCCAUCUGGGACAACACUGACGCUGAGGCACGAAAGCGUGGGGAGCAAACAGGAUUAGAUACCCCCGUAGUCCCUGUCUCUUAUAC